rnacentral:rRNA from 1 species
UACGUAGGUGGCAAGCGUUGUCCGGAUUUACUGGGCGUAAAGGGCGUGCAGGCGGUUUGUUAAGUGCAGAGUGAAAGCUCCCGGCUCAACUGGGAGAGGUCUUUGCAUACUGGCAAACUCGAGGGAGGCAGAGGAAAGUGGAAUUCCCGGUGUAGUGGUGAUAUGCGUAGAUAUCGGGAGGAACACCUGUGGCGAGGGCGGCUUUCUGGGCCUUACCUGACGCUGAGACGCGAAAGCGUGGGGAGCGAACCGG